GUUCAUCGGCGAUUGAAUGGCUUCCAUUUGCUAUCAAAUGAGAAUUGAAUGGUGCCCCUUCGUUUCCAGUCUCCAAAUCCGUCAAUUAGGUUAUUCUACGUUUUUUCUCCUGCAGUUGAAUAGUUUACUCACAUUUCAACCGCCUCUCCUGCUUUCCUUUCACGCAAUAAUCAAGAGAUGGUGUUCGAUCAAUCGUUCGCUUGUGACCACUUCCGAUUUGGCACGCCGAUCCUCACUUCUUGUUAAUUCCAUACCAAAUUCAGACAUCAACCCUAAAUCGACGGCCGCCCAAUUCUCUUCUAUGUCUUUCUUCUGAUCCAUUCAAAAUAUUCAAUGGUGAAAUCACAAGAUCCCUGUGUUUACACAUAUGUUGUGUAUUUGAUCGUUAAGGAAGGAUGUUUGAGAGGGGCGAAAUAAAGGGUGUCGAUAUAUCAUUAUCAGGACUACUCGAGCUUGGUUUUCUGGCGAUUGUACAACAAUUGAAGGAUGAUUACGGUGUCGGUAUUGGACAUUCUCAUAUUGUUACUUUCAAUAUUGUUGAUUAUAACGUUUAGAACUUUGUUAGGAAUUUUAGUUAAAAAUUAAGAGCUCUGAACCGAUUCCAGUAACUUUGGAUUCAAAUUCAGUACAAGAGGGGAAGGGGCACCCUCGGCUUCGAAGCCGCAUGCGAAACACCGCUCGCCUACCCGAAAGGGGAGC